AGGACGAACGCUGGCGGCGUGCCUAAUACAUGCAAGUCGAACGGUCUUUCUAUGGAAGCUUGCUCCACUGAGAAGAUAGUGGCGAACGGGUGAGUAACACGUGGGUAACCUGCCCAUAAGAGGGGGAUAACAUCCGGAAACGGGUGCUAAUACCGCAUAGUUUUCUUGAUCGCAUGAUUGAGAAAGGAAAGACGGCCUUUGUGCUGUCGCUUAUGGAUGGACCCGCGGCGUAUUAGUUAGUUGGUGAGGUAACGGCUCACCAAGACGAUGAUACGUAGCCGACCUGAGAGGGUGAUCGGCCACAUUGGGACUGAGACACGGCCCAAACUCCUACGGGAGGCAGCAGUAGGGAAUCUUCCGCAAUGGACGAAAGUCUGACGGAGCAACGCCGCGUGAGUGAAGAAAGGUUUUCGGAUCGUAAAACUCUGUUGUCAGAGAAGAACAAGUUGGAGAGUAACUGCUCCAGCCUUGACGGUAUCUGACCAGAAAGCCACGGCUAACUACGUGCCAGCAGCCGC
rnacentral:rRNA from 1 species